rnacentral:rRNA from 1 species
AAGGAAUGGUAAUACCGCAUGAGACCUAUGGCUGGGAUGCUGAAGGUGAAACCCGGGGACCGCAAGGCCUGGGGCAAGGAGAGGGUCCUGCGUCUGAUUAGCUAGUUGGUGAGGUAACGGCCCACCAAGGCAUCGAUCAGUAGCCGGCCUGAGAGGGUGAUCGGCCACACUGGAACUGAGACACGGUCCAGACUCCUACGGGAGGCAGCAGUGGGGAAUUUUGCGCAAUGGGCGAAAGCCUGACGCAGCAACGCCGCGUGGGUGAUGAAGGUCUUCGGAUCGUAAAGCCCUGUCGUCAGGGACGAAGGUUGCAUGUCUAAUAGAUGUGCAGCUUGACGGUACCUGGAGAGGAAGCCCCGGCUAACUCUGUGCCAGCAGCCGCGGUAAUACGGAGGGGGCAAGCGUUAUUCGGAAUUAUUGGGCGUAAAGGGCGCGUAGGCGGUGGUCUAAGUGAGAUGUGUAACCCCCGAGCUUAACUUGGGAACUGCAUCUCAGACUGGGGCGCUAGAGUACUGGAGAGGGUGGUAGAAUUCCACGUGUAGCGGUGAAAUGCGUAGAGAUGUGGAGGAAUACCAGUGGCGAAGGCGGCCACCUGGACAGUAACUGACGCUGAGGCGCGAAAGUGUGGGUAGCAAACAGGAUUAGAUACCCUGGUAGUCCACGCUGUAAACGAUGAACACUUGGUGUGGCGGGAGUUGACCCCUGCCGUGCCGGAGCUAACGCGAUAAGUGUUCCGCCUGGGGAGUACGGUCGCAAGGCCGAAACUCAAAGGAAUUGACGGGGGCCCGCACAAGCGGUGGAGCAUGUGGUUUAAUUCGACGCAACGCGAAGAACCUUACCUGGGCUUGAACUGCUAGGGACCGGUACAGAGAUGUGCCUUUUCGCAAGAACCGUAGCAGAGGUGCUGCAUGGCUGUCGUCAGCUCGUGUCGUGAGAUGUUGGGUUAAGUCCCGCAACGAGCGCAACCCUUACCCUUAGUUGCCAGCGCGUAAAGGCGGGAACUCUAGGGGGACUGCCCGGGUUAACCGGGAGGAAGGUGGGGAUGAUGUCAAGUCCUCAUGGCCCUUAUGUCCAGGGCUACACACGUGCUACAAUGGGUGGUACAAACCGUUGCGAAGUCGCGAGAUGGAGCUAAUCGGAGAAAGCCAUCCUCAGUUCGGAUUGCAGUCUGCAACUCGACUGCAUGAAGGUGGUAUCGCUAGUAAUCGUGUAUCAGAAUGAUAC